rnacentral:rRNA from 1 species
AUUGAACGCUAGCGGCAUGCCUAACACAUGCAAGUCGUACGGCAGCACGAGGAGCUUGCUCCUUGGUGGCGAGUGGCGGACGGGUGAGUAACGCGUAGGAAUCUGCCUUGUAGCGGGGGACAACCCGGGGAAACUCGGGCUAAUACCGCAUAAUGUCUUCGGACCAAAGUUGGGGACCUUCGGGCCUAACACUACAAGAUGAGCCUGGGUUGGAUUAGCUAGUUGGUGGGGUAAAGGCCUACCAAGGCAACGAUCCAUCGCUGGUCUGAGAGGACGACCAGCACCACUGGGACUGAGAAACGGCCCAGACUCCUACGGGAGGCAGCAGUGGGGAAUAUUGGACAAUGGGCGAAAGCCUGAUCCAGCAAUGCCGCGUGUGUGAAGAAGGCCUUCGGGUUGUAAAGCACUUUCGUUGGGGAAGAAAAAGCCAAAGUUAAUAUCUUUGGAAAUUGACGUUACCCAAAGAAGAAGCACUGGCUAACUCUGUGCCAGCAGCCGCCGUAA